rnacentral:rRNA from 1 species
GAUGAACGCUGGCGGCGUGCCUAAUACAUGCAAGUCGAGCGAACAGACGAGGAGCUUGCUCCUUUGACGUUAGCGGCGGACGGGUGAGUAACACGUGGGUACCCUCCCUAUAAGACGGGGAUAACUUCGGGAAACCGGAUCUUACACCGUAUAAUAUUUCGAUCCGCAUGGUUCGUUAGUGAAUGAUGGCUUUGCUAUCACUUAUAGAUGGACCUGCGCCGUAUUAGCUAGUUGGUAAGGUAACGGCUUACCACGGCAACUAUACGUAACCGACCUGAGAGGGGGGUCGCCCACACUGGAGCUGGGACACGGUCAAGGCUCCUACGGGAGGCCGCAGUAGGGAACGGUCCGCAAUGGGCGAAAGCCUGACGGAGCAGGGCCGCGUGAGUGAUGAAGGUCUUGGGAUCGUAAAACUGGGUUAUGGGGGAAAAACAAACGUGUAAGGAACUGUGCACGUAUUGACGGUACCGAAUAAGAAAGCCACGGCUAACUACGUG